UAAUCCAUCUCGCGCGAGGGAGGCGCCUGGUGGCGAUGACGCCGGCGCGAGAUUCUGGGAGACACCGGCGCCGGCGCAAGUACCUGGGCUACGACGCCGGCGCGAGGUCGUGUUGGCGAAACCCCGGCUCGGCUUGGUCGUAGUGAUCGCUCCCCGACGCCCCGCGGAUGCCAGCGCGAGGUCCUGGGAGACGCCGGCGACGCGCAAGGACCUGGGCGACGACACCGGCGCGAGGUCCUGGAGGCGAACCCCUGGCUGGGCUUGGUCGUAGUGGUCGACCAGUGGAGCAAGGAAGGCAUGACCGAUUUAUGUGUGGAGACUCUAUCUGAGUACCAUGGCAUUGACAUCAAGACGUUUGUAAGUGAGGAUGAAGGUUUUCAGUUUAUAACAAACUAGGUAUGUGCUCGUGUGUUGCCAUGGGAGAUUUUUCUAAUGCAAUAAGAGGAACAUACAAGGAUACACCCUGAUGCAAAUCAAAUAACCAAGAGGCUGUGUUUUGGUUUUGAAGCAUAGAAUUUUUUACAACUUUAUCACAGGACAUACUGAAGGCCAGGGAACAUCAGAGUGAAAUAUAAUUAUCUGAAUGACAUUUUAAAAAAUAGAUGUCCAAUAAUUCAUCUUUGCAUCUAAAUAAAAAUGUACGCGGCAAUAUCACCACUCAUUUACUAACAUGUUUCUCUAUCUCCUCUUGCGCUAGAACAGUCAGUACCUGAAGAUGGCAUUUGGGUCAUUCUGAUUUGGAGCUUCUGUAACAAAAUACAUAUUUCAGCAAUAGAGUAAUAAUCUUUAGCAGUCCAGUAGUUGAUUGAUGUGCUUUCGUACUGUAGGGGAGUAUGUUGACAUGAUCAAGGCUGGUAUCAUCGACCCUGUGAAAGUGAUCCGAACGGCACUUCAAGAUGCAUAAAUCUCAAGUUCUCUAACCAUAUACCUUUGUACGACCAUGACAGAAACAAUCAAGCUUGUAUGAUAAUCUAUGUUUGUAGUACAGGUUUCUCUGUUAAUGGCAACCACAGAGGCCGCAGUUGCUGAGCUCCCAGCGACAAAGGCCAGAAUUGCUAUGCGUAUGCCGGACAUGAGCGGAAUGUGUUUCUGACAGUGCGGCAUGAUGUCUGAUUUUCCUGUUCUCGGUUAAGGACAUGGCAAGCUUUACUCCCCCCCAUAUACAUGAAUAGAAAAUUCCCCUCCUUAUCAAACGAGAGGUGCAAAGCUGGCACCUAUUUUGCUUUUUGAACUUGAGAUGCUGAUGUGACGUUAACAAGAUUUAGAGCCAUUUCAUUCGGGGUGAAUUCGAAUAGGUGCAGGCAAGACAAGCAUUACCUCAGGUUUUGAAUGUUCACGGGCAACAUUUGUUGUUAUUGAAGUGCUUCCUGCA